CCUGCGGAAGGAUCAUUAAU
rnacentral:rRNA from 1 species